rnacentral:rRNA from 1 species
UACGUAGGGGGCUAGCGUUGUCCGGAUUUACUGGGCGUAAAGAGCGCGCAGGCGGCUGGUCAAGUCCGAUGUGAAAUCUCCCGGCUCAACUGGGAAACUGCAUCGGAAACUGAUCGGCUUGAAGAUGGGAGAGGGUAGUGGAAUUCCCGGUGUAGUGGUGAAAUGCGUAGAUAUCGGGAGGAACACCAGUGGCGAAGGCGACUACCUGGCCCAUUCUUGACGCUGAGGCGCGAAAGCUAGGGGAGCGAACGGG